rnacentral:tRNA from 1 species
AAGGUUUUAAGUUAAUUAAACUAAUAAUCUUCAAAAUUAUAAAUAAAGAAAAUCUUUAAGCCUUA